rnacentral:lncRNA from 1 species
AGGGCAGUUUUCAAACUAGGCAGUGGUUAGACAUGGAUUUCGUAUACCCCUGUAAAAUAUGACAUGUUCUCCUCUAUACGUUUUCUAAUAUACAAGUGGAUUCCAUAAGAUAAUUUCUUCCUUUUUUUUUCCCCUACACAGGUAUAGGAAAGCAAUCUAUCCUCAUAUGAGUAACACUUUGAAUGUCUGUGGAAAUAAAUGAGAACUGAUUCCAUAUGGACUCAGGAAAGGGAAAGAGAGGAACUCAUUCCUCUUUUUUUUCCUUUUCACUGCAACAGCAUCCAGUUUUCCUGUGCAUCUCCCAUGUAAAGAAGUACAAAUGAAGAAUCAAAGCUACUCCAUUUUGUAAGGUUCCGGGAAAAGAGCCUUUGGAAAUCCCCUGACCUCACCCCACCACCUGCAAACCAAUCAGAACCCUUGGCCAGCCAGGGAAAUUCGAGUCAAGCCCAGGAAAGGAGAACCAAUCAGAACUCAACACCUAACCCUUCACCAGAGGGUGACCAAUCAGACCCGGAGACUCCCGGUUUUUGAAUUUUUCGCACGAUAAUACCCUAUAUAAGCAAUGUAACCCAGAGCUCAGGGCUCCUCCCUAUAGCUGCUGCGUCGGUAUCGGUGGGAGCCCCAGCUCGAGCUUGGUAAUAAAAACUCUCUUGCUUUUGCAUCAGAUAUUGGCUCCCUGGUGGUCAUUGGGAGAUUUCGCAACUUGGG